rnacentral:rRNA from 1 species
UACGUAGGGGGCUAGCGUUGUCCGGAAUCAUUGGGCGUAAAGCGCGUGUAGGCGGCCCGGUAAGUCCGCUGUGAAAGUCGGGGGCUCAACCCUCGGAUGCCGGUGGAUACUGUCGGGCUUGAGUACGGAAGAGGCGAGUGGAAUUCCUGGUGUAGCGGUGAAAUGCGCAGAUAAUCAGGAGGAACACCUAUUGCGAAGGCAGCUCGCUGGGACGUAACUGACGCUGGAGACGCGAAAGCGUGGGGAGCGAACAGG